ACAGACGAGAUGUCCUGUUAUCGAAUUCACCUUCUACCCAUUUAGACUUCACAUACAGUGGAAAAUGGUCCCUGUAGACUGCUGAGGUCGGUCCUUCGUACUGUCUCGCUCGUGCACGUGGCCUGGCGCUGGCAACUCUCGAUAUCUAGCAACGAUCAAGUGCGGUCUGUUCAGUUGUGCCGAGACGGUCGGCGAGUGAAGCGUUGAAGCGCAGUUCUCGUCAGUCAGUUGUUACACAUUUCACCGCGUGUUCGUACAUGUCGAUGGCAGACAUGUGAUGAUGUGGUUAUCGUUGCAGAGAGUCUGAUACAGACGUGGAUUCUGCCCUCUUGAUAACAAAGAGUAAGACAUUUUGUUGGUGUCGUGAAACUGAUAUAUGUGUUUGUCGUAAUUGCACGCGGUGUUUUGUGUGUAAAUUGUUUGGUUAAAAUAAGUAAUUUUAAACUGGAAAAUCUCUGCGUGAAGAAAGCUUUUUUUUUUCUUUCUAAAACGCACCUAACGCGGAAUUGACAUGUCGAAAAAUGUUUUAACGUGUUUGAUAUGUGACUGUGAUUUUAACAUCUACAUUAUAUUGAGGACGAACUGUAACGAGUAGUAGGAUGUAAAAGCAGAAGAGUGAGAUAACACAAGCCUGAGCUGGACCCUGUGAAGAUAGAAUUGAUUGGAUCGAUUUAUGGCUUGCGUGGUGAUUUGGUGUUGAAUGCAGAACAUAAAGUUACACCUGAAUCCCCAUUGUUUUGAGAGAAUCCCUUUGUAAAUGCAGCAGUUUCUAAACCUAUUAUCUGACGAAUCAGAAGUUCACUGUACUGGGAGCAAUCAUAAGAGGAAGAUACUUGAAUCGUUUCAAAAUCAGGUUACCGUGUGCAAAUGUGAAGCAACGGUAAGCAUUUCUGCUACAUAACGACGUGCUACUUGGUGAGGAACGCUUUAUGUAUGUAGAUUCAAUGAGUGUAUGAAUAAGUAACUGUUUUUAUCAUCUUCCGGUUGCUUUAGCAGUCACUUCCGGCCAAGAGACUUCUACGCACACUGCAUAUUUUUAGCCGUGGAAAAAAAUAAGUUACCGAUUUAGCCGAUAAUUCGACCUAAAACCCCGUAUUUUCUAAGAAGGACGUAUAUUUGUUACACUGAAAGCUAAAAUUAUCAAGAAAAAGUGAACUGGAGUUUAUCUGUGAAGGUUAGCCUCUCCUAUGUAAGAUCUCUGUUUCUCAUUCUCCAUCCAACACACAGUGAUCAAGUUAAGUAAAACAAACUAAGUUAACUUAGUUCGUUAACUAACGAACAUUCCGCAGGAGUCCUCGAUAAAGUUCUCUUCACUCUGUGGAUGAUUUCCCCUUCUCCUCGCUACCCCAUUUUCCUCAACCCCGCCACCAAACUCAUUCACCACCACAAACCUUCACUGAACCACUACAAUCACCAGGAACAGCUCGCGGCCUUAUCCAGCAACACUACGCGACUUCGCCCUCUCUGUUACACUAUCAUUACUUAUCAGGCCCCCUCUGCUGAUGGCCUCAUGUUGAUCUUUUGAACCCUAGAGAUAUAUACCCCUCUUCCCCCUCCAGAAACCUCCAAUCUCUCGCCCCCACCCCCCUCUGCCCCCGUGCAUCUGCUAGUCGUCACAAUUACGACAAACCACUACAAAGUUUGGUGAUCAUCAAAGUCCGACAAGUUUCCUGAAAACAAAUAUAGAUAAUCGGCCUGACACUAUCUAGUAAGAGAAAUCAAGUUGCCUCAAGUGACUUUUCUGCCCGAAUGGGCGACGACCACUCAGACUGGUCAGCCCCUCGCGGCAGGACAUGUUCAGGAAUCACCAUCUGGCAACAGCAGUGCGGAAACAACAAUCCACCACCGGAUAUCACCAUCGAUCAACGUCAAAACAAUACCCGAGAAUCACAACUGCGCGGUGACCACGACGCCGAAGAAACAGAAGUUUUCUCCACCGCCGCCUUCCCCUCCUCCGUCUCGCCGACCCAAAUCGUCGUCAUUACCAUCGUUAUCUUUCGAAAAGUGUUCGAAAA